CCCGGUUAGUUCAGUUGGUAGAACGCCACAUUGAUUGAAACGUGGAGACGCGGGUUCAAUUCCUGCACUGGGCU